rnacentral:rRNA from 1 species
GACGAACGCUGGCGGCGUGCUUAACACAUGCAAGUCGAACGGUGAAGCAGAGCUUGCUCUGUGGUUCAGUUGCGAACGGGUGAGUAACACAUGAGUAACCUGCCCUUGUCUAUGGGUUAAGCGAUGUCAACAACGUCUAAUACCGACUACGAACUGAGACCGCCCGCUCGUUUGUUGAAAAGAUUUUUUGGUCAAGGAUGGACUCGCGGGCUAUCAGCUUGUUGGUGCGGUAAUGGCUCACAAAGGCGUCGACGGGUAGCCGGCCUUAGAGGGUGACCGGCCACACUGGGACUGAGACACGGCCCAGACUCCUACGGGAGGCAGCAGUGGGGAAUAUUGCACAAUGGGCGCAAGCCUGAUGCAGCAACGCCGCGUGAGGGAUGACGGCCUUCGGGGUGUAAACCUCUUUGAGUAGGGAAGAAGCGAAAGUGACGGUACCUGCAGAAAAAGCACCGGCUAACUACGUG